rnacentral:rRNA from 1 species
AGUGAACGCUGGCGGCAGGCCUAACACAUGCAAGUCGAGCGGCAGCGGGUCCUUCGGGAUGCCGGCGAGCGGCGGACGGGUGAGGAAUGCAUCGGAAUCUGCCUCUUUGUGGGGGAUAACGUAGGGAAACUUACGCUAAUACCGCAUACGUCCUACGGGAGAAAGUGGGGGACCGCAAGGCCUCACGCAGAGAGAUGAGCCGAUGCCGGAUUAGCUAGUUGGCGGGGUAAAGGCCCACCAAGGCGACGAUCCGUAGCUGGUCUGAGAGGAUGAUCAGCCAAACGGGGACUGAGACACGAGCCAGACUCCUACGGGAGGCAGCAGUGGGGAAUAUUGGACAAUGGGCGCAAGCCUGAUCCAGCCAUGCCGCGUGAGUGAAGAAGGCCUUCGGGUUGUAAAGCUCUUUUGUUGGGGAAGAAAUCCUGUCGAUUAAUACUCGGCGGAGCUGACGGUACCCAAAGAAUAAGCACCGGCUAACUUCGUGCCAGCCGCCGCCGUAA